ACAGAAUAUUCUACUCAAAAAUCAGAUAUUCUCAUAAUUAAAUUAGAAUAACUAAUUAAACCCACUGUUAUUUUUACAAAAUACCAAAACAGCUCUUGACAUUUUGUCCCAAAAUUAAAGAAUCCUAGCCAGCGGUUGUCUUCUGAAAUUAGUGGUGUUUCUCCUCCGUUCCUCCAUCUGCAUCGUCGUCGUCGUCAUCCUUGGAGGCGUGAGCGUUCGUCGUCGUCGUCGUCCAUCGUCCUUGGUCUACGCUGCAUUGCUCUACGCUAUUCGUGAGUCUACUCUGCUCUGCUCCGUGGCACUCCCGUAGCUACCGUCACGCUCCCUCGCCGUGCCUCGCGCUCCGUGGCGCUCCUGUGGCUCCUGUCGCCCUCCCUCAAAAUAUCGCACUCCCGUGGCUUUUGUCAGAAGAACCACUAUUCAAUGGGAAGACAGAAUUUGAUCGGCUUGAUAAGAUUUUUAAGAUUCUUGGCGAGCGAAACAAUUUGACCCGAGUUCUCAAAAUUACCUGGAGUCAAGGUCAAUUUUGUUAAGAACCAGCUUCCAACUUUGGGUGGUUCUGAUCUGGCUAUCUGGUCUCUCUUGGUGAUUUGUCCUAUUUCUGAGCUUUUUGGUUUGUAUUGACAAUUGGACUAUUGGCUAUCACAUUGUUUCUAAAGUAUUAUAAAACAUGAAUAAAAAAUCUAUUUUUAUGUGCAGCGGAUUACGGCUGAAGCUACUCUCAAUCAUGAAUGGUUCCAUGAAGUUCCUGUUUCCAAGAGUAAAGAAU